UUUUCAUUGUCAUUCCAGGUAGACAUAAAAAAUUUAAAGUAUGCACAAAGCCUGAAAGUGUCAAAUAUGGAACUUAAAAAAACCUGCCUUUGCCACUGACUGUAUAAAGGUUUUUUAAGGUCUGCUUGUCAAGCGUCAAGUCAGGUUAUCUUGCUACUGGUACCAUGUAGUACAUCCUGCUUAAGCAGGUUGUACGCCAUUCAUACAUUGUUUAGGAAUAUGUUUGUAAAAUAUUGCUGCAAAUCUUUUUGAGAGAGCCAUUUCUAUGGAGAACCAUCUAAACCAUACAAGUGUGGAAACAUGGAUGUAAAC